rnacentral:SRP_RNA from 1 species
CCGUGCUAGGCGGGGAGCCAGCGGUGCCCUGUACCUGCAAUCCGCUCCAGCAGGGCUGAAUUCCCCCUCGAGGCCCCCGUGUGCGGAGGCCGCCACCUCAGGCGACGUUGAGGGCCGGGUCCCGCGCAGCGGCGACUCGCGAACCGUGUCAGGUCCGGAAGGAAGCAGCACUCAGCGAACCUCGCCGGGUGCCGCGGAACGGCCUGGUCCGAGUCGCCGACGGUGGUGGGCCCGGGCACGGGCCGGUCGACAGGGGGUGCACGG